UCAGGUGGCCGCAGAGAAUCGGCCCAAGCGACUGUUUACCAACAACAUAGGUUUCUGCUAAGUCGCAAGACGAUGUAUAGGGGCUGACGCCUGCCCGGUGCUGGAAGGUUAAGGGGAUCUGUUAGAGUAAUCGAAGCAGUGAACUUAAGCCCCAGUAAACGGCGGCCGUAACUAUAACGGUCCUAAGGUAGCGAAAUUCCUUGUCGGGU
rnacentral:rRNA from 1 species